rnacentral:rRNA from 1 species
GGUUAAGCGACUAAGCGUACACGGUGGAUGCCCUGGCAGUCAGAGGCGAUGAAGGGCGUGCUAAUCUGCGAUAAGCGCCGGUAAGGUGAUAUGAACCGUUAUAACCGGCGAUACCCGAAUGGGGAAACCCAGUGUGAUUCGUCACACUAUCAUUAACUGAAUCCAUAGGUUAAUGAGGCGAACCGGGGAACUGAAACAUCUAAGUACCCCGAGGAAAAGAAAUCAACCGAGAUUCCCCCCAGUAGCGGCGAGCGAACGGGGAGGAGCCCAGAGCCUGAAUCAGCAUGUGUGUUAGUGGAAGCGUCUGGAAAGGCGCGCGAUACAGGGUGACAGCCCCGUACACAAAAGCGCAUGUGCUGUGAGCUCGAUGAGUAGGGCGGGACACGUGGUAUCCUGUCUGAAUAUGGGGGGACCAUCCUCCAAGGCUAAAUACUCCUGACUGACCGAUAGUGAACCAGUACCGUGAGGGAAAGGCGAAAAGAACCCCGGCGAGGGGAGUGAAAAAGAACCUGAAACCGUGUACGUACAAGCAGUGGGAGCCCCACCACCAAAGCAUUCUCUGGUGUUGAAGGCCCUGCAAAGCAGCAUCGCGGUGGCGGAGCGUCGUUUGCGACGCCCAACACACAAAACAAGCGGUGAGUGCUUUGGGGUGGGGUGACUGCGUACCUUUUGUAUAAUGGGUCAGCGACUUAUAUUCUGUAGCAAGGUUAACCGAAUAGGGGAGCCGGAGGGAAACCGAGUCUUAAUUGGGCGUUAAGUUGCAGGGUAUAGACCCGAAACCCGGUGAUCUAGCCAUGGGCAGGUUGAAGGUUGGGUAACACUAACUGGAGGACCGAACCGACUAAUGUUGAAAAAUUAGCGGAUGACCUGUGGCUGGGGGUGAAAGGCCAAUCAAACCGGGAGAUAGCUGGUUCUCCCCGAAAGCUAUUUAGGUAGCGCCUCGUGAAUUCAUCUCCGGGGGUAGAGCACUGUUUCGGCUAGGGGGCCAUCCCGGCUUACCAACCCGAUGCAAACUGCGAAUACCGGAGAAUGUUAUCACGGGAGACACACGGCGGGUGCUAACGUCCGUCGUGAAGAGGGAAACAACCCAGACCGCCAGCUAAGGUCCCAAAGUCAUGGUUAAGUGGGAAACGAUGUGGGAAGGCCCAGACAGCCAGGAUGUUGGCUUAGAAGCAGCCAUCAUUUAAAAGAAAGCGUAAUAGCUCACUGGUCGAGUCGGCCUGCGCGGAAGAUGUAACGGGGCUAAACCAUGCACCGAAGCUGCGGCAGCGACACUCAGGUGUUGUUGGGUAGGGGAGCGUUCUGUAAGCCUGCGAAGGUGGCCUGUGAGGGUUGCUGGAGGUAUCAGAAGUGCGAAUGCUGACAUAAGUAACGAUAAAGCGGGUGAAAAGCCCGCUCGCCGGAAGACCAAGGGUUCCUGUCCAACGUUAAUCGGGGCAGGGUGAGUCGACCCCUAAGGCGAGGCCGAAAGGCGUAGUCGAUGGGAAACGGGUUAAUAUUCCCGUACUUGGUGUUACUGCGAAGGGGGGGACGGAGAAGGCUAUGUUGGCCGGGCGACGGUUGUCCCGGUUUAAGCGUGUAGGUGUGUGUUCCAGGUAAAUCCGGUUCACUUUAACACUGAGGCGUGAUGACGAGGCACUACGGUGCUGAAGCAACAAAUGCCCUGCUUCCAGGAAAAGCCUCUAAGCAUCAGGUAACAUCAAAUCGUACCCCAAACCGACACAGGUGGUCAGGUAGAGAAUACCAAGGCGCUUGAGAGAACUCGGGUGAAGGAACUAGGCAAAAUGGUGCCGUAACUUCGGGAGAAGGCACGCUGACACGUAGGUGAAGUGAUUUACUCAUGGAGCUGAAGUCAGUCGAAGAUACCAGCUGGCUGCAACUGUUUAUUAAAAACACAGCACUGUGCAAACACGAAAGUGGACGUAUACGGUGUGACGCCUGCCCGGUGCCGGAAGGUUAAUUGAUGGGGUCAGCGCAAGCGAAGCUCCUGAUCGAAGCCCCGGUAAACGGCGGCCGUAACUAUAACGGUCCUAAGGUAGCGAAAUUCCUUGUCGGGUAAGUUCCGACCUGCACGAAUGGCGUAAUGAUGGCCAGGCUGUCUCCACCCGAGACUCAGUGAAAUUGAACUCGCUGUGAAGAUGCAGUGUACCCGCGGCAAGACGGAAAGACCCCGUGAACCUUUUACUAUAGCUUGACACUGAACAUUGAGCCUUGAUGUGUAGGAUAGGUGGGAGGCUUUGAAGUGUGGACGCCAGUCUGCAUGGAGCCGACCUUGAAAUACCACCCUUUAAUGUUUGAUGUUCUAACGUGAAUCCGUAAUCCGGGUUGCGGACAGUGUCUGGUGGGUAGUUUGACUGGGGCGGUCUCCUCCUAAAGAGUAACGGAGGAGCACGAAGGUUGGCUAAUCCUGGUCGGACAUCAGGAGGUUAGUGCAAUGGCAUAAGCCAGCUUGACUGCGAGCGUGACGGCGCGAGCAGGUGCGAAAGCAGGUCAUAGUGAUCCGGUGGUUCUGAAUGGAAGGGCCAUCGCUCAACGGAUAAAAGGUACUCCGGGGAUAACAGGCUGAUACCGCCCAAGAGUUCAUAUCGACGGCGGUGUUUGGCACCUCGAUGUCGGCUCAUCACAUCCUGGGGCUGAAGUAGGUCCCAAGGGUAUGGCUGUUCGCCAUUUAAAGUGGUACGCGAGCUGGGUUUAGAACGUCGUGAGACAGUUCGCAUUCCUAUCUGCCGUGGGCGCUGGAGAACUGAGGGGGCUGCUCCUAGUACGAGAGGACCGGAGUGGACGCAUCACUGGUGUUCGGGUUGUCAUGCCAAUGGCACUGCCCGGUAGCUAAAUGCGGAAGAGAUAAGUGCUGAAAGCAUCUAAGCACGAAACUUGCCCCGAGAUGAGUUCUCCCUGAGACUUUAAGUCUCCUGAAGGAACGUUGAAGACGACGACGUUGAUAGGCCGGGUGUGUAAGCGCAGCGAUGCGUUGAGCUAACCGGUACUAAUGAACCGUGAGGCUUAACCUU